rnacentral:rRNA from 1 species
UCAGGAUGAACGCUAGCGGCAGGCCUAACACAUGCAAGUCGAGGGGUAACAUUGGUGCUUGCACCAGAUGACGACCGGCGCACGGGUGCGUAACGCGUAUACAAUCUACCUUUUGCUAAGGGAUAGCCCAGAGAAAUUUGGAUUAAUACCUUAUAGUAUGCAGACUUCUCAUGGAGAUUGCAUUAAAGAUUACGGCAAAAGAUGAGUAUGCGUCCUAUUAGUUUGUUGGUGUGGUAACGGCACACCAAGACUACGAUAGGUAGGGGCCCUGAGAGGGGGAUCCCCCACACUGGUACUGAGACACGGACCAGACUCCUACGGGAGGCAGCAGUGAGGAAUAUUGGACAAUGGAGGCAACUCUGAUCCAGCCAUGCCGCGUGCAGGAAGACUGCCCUAUGGGUUGUAAACUGCUUUUAUACAGGAAGAAACACUCCCUCGUGAGGGAGCUUGACGGUACUGUAAGAAUAAGGAUCGGCUAACUCCGUGCCAGCAGCCGCGGUAAUACGGAGGAUCCAAGCGUUAUCCGGAAUCAUUGGGUUUAAAGGGUCCGUAGGUGGAUAAUUAAGUCAGAGGUGAAAGUUUGCAGCUCAACUGUAAAAUUGCCUUUGAUACUGGUUAUCUUGAGUUAUUGUGAAGUAGUUAGAAUAUGUAGUGUAGCGGUGAAAUGCAUAGAUAUUACAUAGAAUACCAAUUGCGAAGGCAGAUUACUAACAAUAUACUGACACUGAUGGACGAAAGCGUGGGUAGCGAACAGGAUUAGAUACCCUGGUAGUCCACGCCGUAAACGAUGGAUACUAGCUGUUGGGCUUCGGCUCAGUGGCUAAGCGAAAGUGAUAA